GACGAACGCUGGCGGCGUGCUUAACACAUGCAAGUCGAACGGUGACGCGCCUUGCUUUUUGUUUGGUGUGGAUGAGUGGCGAACGGGUGAGUAACACGUGAGUAACCUGCUCCCUCCUGCUGGAUAACCGCAGGAAAGUUUGGCUAAUACGGGAUAUUCUGUGUCUGUCGCAUGAUGGGUCUGUGAAAGAUAUUGUUUCGGUGUGGGAUGGUCUCGCGUCCUAUCAGCUUGUUGGUGGGGGGAUGGCCUACCAAGGCUGUGACGGGUAGCCGGCCUGAGAGGGUGGACGGUCACACUGGGACUGAGACACGGCCAAGACUGCUACGGGAGGCAGCAGUGGGGAAUAUUGCACGAUGGGCGCAAGCCUGAUGCAGCGACGCCGCGUGAGGGAUGGAGGCCUUCGGGUUGUGAACCUCUUUCGCCAGUGAAGCAGGCCUGCCUCGUUUGUGGGUGGGUUGACGGUAGCUGGAUAAGAAGCGCCGGCUAAGUACGUG
rnacentral:rRNA from 1 species